ACCCCCAGAUGCAUGAGGAUUGAUCUUGGCCGUUAUAUCUCAUUUCCUCGAUCUAUGCAUAUAACUUUUUAGAUUAUAUAUAAAUAUAUAGAGAUCCUAAUCUUAAUUCCCUCAAUUAAACAUUAUAUCUAGAUUGGUUAUACAUGAAUGUGCUGGAGACUCCGUUUGUUUUUUCGCCAUGUAAUGAAGUUGCUGUGUCAAGAGAGUGUGAUGAUAAACAAUAAUCUGCACUUAGGAGCUAACC
rnacentral:lncRNA from 1 species